UGUCAUUUCCUGUGACUUUUUUCGUUCGCUCGGCUCAGCUUCAAGCUCGUGAAAUUACCUUCCUUCUUCCUCAGUUGGGAAGUGUUUGCAUUAUCUCUUUCGUUCGAUGAAGCUGUUAUGGAACAGGGACUGUUGCUUCAGCCCUUAACUCCUCUUCCUUUCUCUCUUCUCGAAAGACCCAGAUUGCCUGCGAAACCACGUGCCUCUUGUUCCCCACGUUAUCCGGAAAAGGCUCCAUUUUUGGGCAAAGCUUUGAUUUUGCGACAGAACAGUGCAAAUCCGAGACACCCAGUAAGGACUUCUUGUCCGGUAAGGGCUGGGGUGAAAAGAAGGAAGGAGCUUCCGUUUGAUAAUGUAAUUCAAAGGGACAAGAAACUGAAAAUGGUUCUCAAGAUUAGGAAGAUUCUCGUAAGCCAACCCGAUCGAACAAUGUCGCUGCGGGAACUGGGUAGGUACAAGAGGGCUCUGGGGUUGGAUAAAAAACGAAGAUUGAUCGCUCUGUUGAGGAAAUUCCCGGCUGUGUUUGAAAUUGUAGAAGAAGGGUUUUAUUCUUUGAAGUUCAAGUUGACCCCUGAAGCAGAAAGGCUUUAUCUUGAGGAGUUGAAAGUUAGGAGUGAGAUGGAGGAUCUGUUAGUAGUCAAAUUGAGGAAAUUGGUCAUGAUGUCUCUGGAGAAGCGCAUUUUACUCGAGAAGAUUGCGCAUUUAAGGAGUGAUUUGGGGCUUCCAUUAGAAUUCCGUGAUACGAUCUGCCACCGGUAUCCGCAAUACUUCAGGGUCAUAGCGACCUCGGGAGGCCCGGCUUUAGAGCUAACUCAUUGGGAUCCCGAGCUCGCGGUAUCUGCUGUGCAGCUUGCUGAAGAGGAGAACAGGGCGAGAGAGAUUGAAGAGAAGAAUUUGAUCAUUGAUAGGCCUCCCAAGUUUAAUAGAGUGAGGUUGCCCAAGGUUCUGGUCUUGUCUAGGGGUGAGAUGAAGAGGAUUUCUAAAUUCAGAGAUAUGCCGUAUAUAUCCCCUUACUCUGAUUUCUCGGCAUUGCGGUCAGGUACGCCAGAGAAAGAGAAGCAUGCUUGUGGGGUUGUCCAUGAGAUUUUGAGCCUCACUGUUGAGAAGAGAACUCUUGUUGAUCACCUCACUCAUUUUAGGGAGGAAUUGAGAUUCUCGCAGCAGCUGAGGGGUAUGCUGAUAAGGCAUCCGGAUAUGUUUUAUGUAUCUCUAAAAGGGGACAGGGACUCGGUAUUCCUGAGGGAAGCAUACCAUGGCUCCCAUUUAGUAGAGAAGGAUCGCCUGUUGCUUAUCAAGGAGAAGCUUCGUUCUCUCGUUGCUGUGCCUCGAUUUCCAAGGAAGGGAGUUUCCAAGAAGGAUGAUGAUAGCGCAGAGGUAAUCCCGGAGCAAAAAGACGCAAGUGAUGAGGAGGGUGCUGAAGACUGGUCGGAUGUUGGUGACUUGAUGAUUGAUGGCGUAGAUGGUGAUGACAAUGAGGAUGACGACUUUGAUGGCAAUUAUGAGGAUGAUUGGACUGAGGAAGAUGAAGAUACACCGCCAGAUUUUGAUGAAGAUGGCAGUUCUGUGAAGAUUGGUAUCGGCAAGCCAAUUGAGCAGACUGGUUACUCCACAGAUAAUGAAGAAAAAAUUCUUGUUCCCACGUUUCCUGAUGGUCGUCCUAGAGAAUGCUGGUAGAAUUGCUAUGAUGAUAUAUGAUUGAAGAGUCCAUUAUACAAGGUGUGUCAUGAAUUCCUUUGAAGUAGGAUUCUGUCCACAGUGUCCUCCCGCCUAUAGUCUCUCUGGGAAAAGGAAGGGCUAUGUGACGCUGCAGAUCGUUUCCCAGAAGGGGUCAGUAUAAUCAUGGGCUACUCAGGCUACUAGGAGAUAGUCAUGACUUAGACAUGACAGAAAAUGUUUUAUGGCAAUUCUUUCAUGUAGGGAAAAGUCGACACGUCCAGAUAGAUACUUGGCGCUGAAGCUAAAAGAUUGGGAGCACCACAGUAUUCUCUCAAUAUGAUUAUGGUCUAAACGAACAAGUUACGCAUUCUCAAUGGCUGAGCCAGUUUUAGUUGUUCGAUGGGCCAUUUAUAGUAUGUUCUGAUUAAUAAAUAAUAACAGUCAAUAGUCAAUACUAAGGAUGAGAACGGAAAAUUUUCCACCAACAAAUUUAGUCCAGCAAGGGCAAAUGCUAGAAAGCUGUUUAGUGGGUUCUCUCUAGAUGGAUCUUCAUACAUGUUUCCUUGUGGAACUAUGCAUAACCUCUGUACAUGUCAAGGAGACUAGGUUCAUAUUGUAUAUUAAGAGGUAACGCCUGGAAGUCGUGAGUUUGGUCCUGGAGAUGUCAAUGCCAAGUCGAGCACCGCAUGAAGACCCUAAUCAUUAAUUCAUCUGUGGAUUCUUACGUGGAGAGUUGGAUCGAGGAAUGUCUACAAAACUCUGAUAUGCGUACUUUACUUCGGAAG